rnacentral:lncRNA from 1 species
UUUUCACUUGUGAUAGCAAAGGUUCAAAGAUAAAAUUGAUUAUACAGGGCCAGAAGUUUCAUGCAACAAUUACUACACUGAAAGAUCGACCUGUUGCUUACACUCUCAAAAAGUGGAGACCAUACUUACUUGAUCAACGGGUUGUGAUGCGUUGCAGAUAGUCUAUGGCUAAAGUGUUGAAAGAGAAGCUCCCCGAGAUUGAU